rnacentral:rRNA from 1 species
GACGAACGCUGGCGGCGUGCUUAACACAUGCAAGUCGAACGGAAAGGCCUGUCCUUCCUUGUGUUGGACGGGUACUCGAGUGGCGAACGGGUGAGUAACACGUGAGUGAUCUGCCCCCAACUUGGGUAUAAGCCUGGGAAACCGGGUCUAAUUCCCGAUAGGACUGCAGGGUGGUGCCUGUGGUGGAAAACGAUUUUCUAGUGGUUGGGGAUGAGCUCGCGGCCUAUCAGCUUGUUGGUGGGGUAAUGGCCUACCAAGGCGGCGACGGGUAGCCGGCCUGAGAGGGUGGACGGCCACAUUGGGACUGAGAUACGGCCCAGACUCCUACGGGAGGCAGCAGUGGGGAAUAUUGCACAAUGGGCGGAAGCCUGAUGCAGCGACGCCGCGUGGGGGAUGACGGCCUUCGGGUUGUAAACUCCUUUCGACCGCGAGGAAGCCGCCUGGUUGGAAGGGUGGUGACGGUAGUGGUAGAAGAAGCACCGGCUAACUACGUG